CCUGUUGCUCUCAAGGUAAUCUUGUAGACAGUCACAUCUGAAAGCUUGAAUAUUAUGCUUUAGACAUCAAAGGACUUUCUCACAAAGGAGUCUUCUUCUCAACGGUGAAUCUUCACGGUAAGUUAGUAUUUGUAUAGCAAUAGGCAAGUCAUACUUAAUUCUUCAAUGGCCAAGUCUGGAGCCAUUCCAGUUCUUUGAUUAAGGACAUACUAUUUACGUCUAAAGAAGCCUUUCUCUUGUGUAUACACGUAUAUAUUUUGCUUGACUUCAGCUAAAUCAUUUUCAUUUAAUUUCCAGUAAACAAAAACCACGCGAAUGGGCACUUGUUGGAGAUCAUAAUAAAAAUGGAUAAAAAUGUUGGGAAGAAAAGGACCGCCUGAACUGAGGCGUCAGUGAAUCAUUGUCUCUGCUCUCUGCAGUGAUCAGAGAAUUCAUUUUGAUUUGAUGGCCAAGUUUCAAAAGGCAAGGAAAUGGUUUUUAAGGAAAAGAAUGGAAGAAAGGCCUAAUCAAGUUCGGGUUGUUCAAAGAGUCUGGUUUUGGGGGUGAAAGUGUGAGUUUUAUGGAGCCUCAACAUGCCAAGUUAGGCUCUCUAUGGUAAUGAGGGGGGCAAUAGCAAGCUGUCUUCAAAGGAGGCACACUCCAUUUGAGACACAGUCUAUUAAGAUACAUUUUAACUGACCUCUGCUUUCAUGCUAGUUUAAUACAGUUGAUCUCCUCUAUAUUAUGUACCAUCACAUUUUAGUGUGUGCAUUAGUAGCAUGUUUGUAAAUGCAAACAUAGAGUACAUAUAUAUGACUGAGUAGGCGUUCUUUAUCUGUGAGCACAUGUGACAUUCACUUGCUCUUUUAUAUACUCUUUUUAAAAUAGUAG